AUAUUUUGGUUACUACCACUUGCUACAUUAUUCUAGGAGGGUGAGUGCUCUGAAAAAAAAGAGUGAAUACGAGGAAAUAAAAAGGGGCAAGUGCCCGAAACCUCGAAGAAAAGAAAAAGUGAGAUGAGAGGUAAAAAUAGACAAGUGUCCGACAGUAGAAUUAGGGGUACAAGAUACCCACCUGAGAGAAAAGAAAAAGAAAAUAUAGAGCAUCUCAUUCCCCUCAAAAAGCUUCAAAGUGCAAGAAAGGUAUGUAUCCCCGCAAAAGAGCAAAAGUAGAAUUAGACUUUCACCAUUGCUUUCACCAUUAUCACCAUCAUCACCAUACACUAUUCAUUCGCCACACAUGCACAUCUUGAUUUGACUUAUUGACUUGUUUCUCUGGAUCCAUGGUUUGACUAUGCAAUAAAUGUCUUGUAAGUAUGUAUUAGCUGUCUCCCACCUAUGAGCUCCAGAUAUCAAAACCUUAUUAGAAUAGGGUGAG
rnacentral:lncRNA from 1 species